GAUAAACGCUAGCGGCAGGCUUAACACAUGCAAGUCGAGGGGCAGCACAGAAACAGCAAUGUUUUGGUGGCGACCGGCGGACGGGUGCGUAACGCGUAUGCAACCUACCUUUAACAGGGGGAUAACGGAGAGAAAUUUCCACUAAUACCCCAUAACAUCGAUCAAGGCAUCUUGAUUGGUUGAAAACUCCGGUGGUUAAAGAUGGGCAUGCGUUGUAUUAGGUAGUUGGUGAGGUAAUGGCUCACCAAGCCUACGAUACAUAGGGGGACUGAGAGGUUCGCCCCCCACACUGGUAAUGAGAAACGGACCAGACUCCUACGGCAGGCAGCAGUGAGGAAUAUUGGUCAAUGGGGGAAACCCUGAACCAGCCAUGCCGCGUGCAGGAAGACGGCUCUAUGAGUUGUAAACUGCUUUUAAACAGGGAUAAAGCACAGUAUGUAUACUGUGUUGAAGGUACUGUAAGAAUAAGGAUCGGCUAACUCCGUGCCAGCAGCCGCCGUAA
rnacentral:rRNA from 1 species